GAUUAACGCUGGCGGCGUGCAUGAAACAUGCAAGUUGAGCGCGGCACCUUCGGGUGUCUAGCGGCGCACGGGUGAGUAACACGUGAGCAACCUACCUCCGAGUUCGGGAUAGCCCUGAGAAAUCAGGAUUAAUACCGGAUGGUGUCAUCUCGAGGCAUCUCAAGAUGAACAAAGGCGCAAGCCGCUCGAUGACGGGCUCGCGGCCUAUUAGC
rnacentral:rRNA from 1 species